rnacentral:misc_RNA from 1 species
UCUCUCUCUCUCGUCCUCUUCAGUUUCUGAUUAUGGAUUAGACUUUUUCCUCUUUUUUUUAUCUUUUUAUUUUGUUAAUUUUUCUUGGUAACCUUGAAACUUCCAACUUACCUAAACUCAAUUGCAAAAUUUCUCGAACCUUCCACUCGCCGGCUAGGAUCCCGAGACCGGCGUGAUCUGCGGCCCUGAUUCAGUCAAAAUUCAACCGAUUCAUGUGGAAGCGGGAGCACCUGAUCAUCCCUCUGCUGUAUCAACAACCAGCAGCAUGUAGCAUUUAUUCAAGUUUGUGGUGAAUUGCAGCAACGGCACUUUGAUUUGAUCUCUUCCUGUUUCUGCUAUGACUUCCAAAGUUCUCAUGGUUUCUUCAAGGGAAGGUACAGAUGAAUUUGCUUCUGAUGAAUUGCAGAAGCAGCAGAGCCCAGAUAAUGGAAGUCACACAACACAAGAGAUUGAUGAUAAUGGAAUUCAUACAUCACAAAAUGAAGAAGUCACACCGGUUACCUCUGACAAAACUAUGCAGGAUGCUAAUGCUGGGGUCCAUAUAUCGCAGUUAGAUAAAGAAGGAAGUAUCUCCUCUAUAAUACCAGGUAAAGUCUCACAGACCCCUGGCCCUCGCUCCAGUGCCUUGCAAUCUGGUCAGGAAGGUAGAAUUCCUAUUGUUCGUGAAAAAGUGUC